rnacentral:rRNA from 1 species
GGGGAAUCUUGGACAAUGGGCGCAAGCCUGAUCCAGCCAUGCCGCGUGAGUGAAGAAGGCCUUAGGGUUGUAAAGCUCUUUCGUCAAGGAAGAUAAUGACGGUACCUGAAGAAGAAGCCCCGGCUAACUCCGUGCCAGCAGCCGCGGUAAUACAGAGGGGGCUAGCGUUGUUCGGAAUCACUGGGCGUAAAGCGCACGUAGGCCGACGGUUAAGUCGGGGGUGAAAGCCUGGAGCUCAACUCCAGAACUGCCUCCGAUACUGGUCGUCUUGAGUCCGAGAGAGGUGAGUGGAAUUCCCAGUGUAGAGGUGAAAUUCGUAGAUAUUGGGAAGAACACCAGUGGCGAAGGCGGCUCACUGGCUCGGUACUGACGCUGAGGUGCGAAAGCGUGGGGAGCAAAC